rnacentral:lncRNA from 1 species
GGCAGGACGACCGGGCCUGGUGAAAAAUUCGAUAUUCUGAAGUCGCCCAAAAAAUCAAAUGCAAAAUGGCUCCAUAGCGCCCCCUAAGGUGAAAAAUUCACAUGAUUGAGUGUCACGCCUGUACGCUUUGUCAAAAUGACACAAAAUUUGACACACACGUGUAUCUCAAUAAGAUCUACAAAAAAGUCAGUGCGGGCGUAUCUGUCAAAUGUACGGUUAAAGGGCUAUUUCGCAUUUUUUGCCGAUCCGCACACAUUGGAAUUUCGCUAACUCCUCCGAAGGCUUUCGUUCCACCGGCACCAAAUUUGCUCAGGCCAAUCUACACCCCAUGGCCAUUAAAAGUUGUACAAAUCAUGACGCUGCAUCCCACGGUUUACGUUCUAGGGGGCGCCAAAGAUAACCCAGAAAUCCACAUUCUUAAAAGUCGUAUAACUUUUUAUUUUUGUCCUCACUGGCCUCCAAGUUUUCUAGGAUGAUGCAAUGUCUAGCCAUCAACACAUUUGUGAAGGAAUUUUUACUCCCCAAAAGAGCGCCCCCCCAUGGCAGGAGAAAAAAGUCCAGUUUUUCUUCCCCCUAAGGUGAAAAUUCACAUUAUUGAGUGUCACGCCUGUACGCUUUGUCAUAUUGUAACAAACUUUGACAAUCACGUGUUUCUCAAUAAGAUCUACGAAAUAGUCAAUGGGCGCGUAUCUGUAAAAUGUACGGUUAAAGGGCUAUUUCGCAUUUUUGGUCGAUUCGCACACAUUGGAAUGUGGCUAACUCCUCCUAAAUAUUUCGUUCCACUGACACCAAAUUUACUCAGGCCAAUCUACAUUCCAUGGCCAUUCAAAGUUGUAAAAAUCAUGACGCUGCACCCCACGGUUUAUGUUCUAGGGGGCGCCAAAGAUAACCCAAAAAUCCACAUUCUUAAAAGUCUUAUAACUUUUUAUUUUUGUCCUCACUGGCCUCCAAGUUUUCUAGGAUGAUGCAAUGUCUAGCCAUCAACACAUUUGUGAAGGAAUUUUUACUCCCUAAAAGAGCGCCCCCCCAUGGCAGGAGAAAAAGUCAAGUUUUUCCUGCCCAUCGCUCAAUGACUCAAACACAUCGCUCUCUCGGCAAAACCGAAAGGAGGAGCAACUUGCCAUUUGGAUAUAUCCUAGCUGUGUUUGUGCCCUCACUCAUGGUCCAGUCCUUUUCAAAUAGGACAUGGAGUUUGUCUGCGGCGAGCGUUUUGGUAGAAACUGCGCCUCCCAUUCAUUAUAAUUGUAAAUGACCACAGACAAGUGCGCACACCAUCUUUGGACCUUGAGUGUGACGCGAUCGGUAGGGAGAGGCGGUCGUGUUGGGGGCGGCGCGACACGGCUCGGGCCCGCCAGUGCCCCAACGGGGCCCUAGUUAUUAUUUUUCUGCCCCUUUGAACUGGAAAAUGGCCCACUUCCCACUGGUGAAAACUCAUGAAAUUUGGCAGGACGACCGGGCCUGGUGAAAAAUUCGAUAUUCUGAAGUCGCCCAAACAAUCAAAUUCAAAAUGGCUCCAUAGCGCCCCCUAAGGUGAAAAAUUCACAUGAUUGAGUGUCACACCUGUACGCUUUGUCAAAAUGACACAAAAUUUGACACACACGUGUAUCUCAAUAAGAUCUACAAAAAAGUCAGUGCGGGCGUAUCUGUCAAAUGUACGGUUAAAGGGCUAUUUCGCAUUUUUUGCCGAUCCGCACACAGUGGAAUUUCGCUAACUCCUCCGAAGGCUUUCGUUCCACCGGCACCACAUUUGCUCAGGCCAAUCUACACCCCAUGGCCAUUCAAAGUUGUACAAAUCAUGACGCUGCACCCCACGGUUUACGUUCUAGGGGGCGCCAAAGAUAACCCAAAAAUCCACAUUCUUAAAAGUCUAAUAACUUUUUAUUUUUGCCCUCACUGGCCUCCAAGUUUUCUAGGAUGAUGCAAUGACCAGCCAUCAACACAUUUGUGAAGGAAUUUUUACUCCCCAAAAGAGCGCCCCCCCAUGGCAGGAGAAAAAAGUCCAUUUUUUCUUGUCCCCUAAGGUGAAAAUACAUAUUGUUGAGUGUCACGCCUAUACGCUUUGUCAUAUUGACAUAAAAUUUGACACACACGUGUAUCUCAAUAAGAUCUACAAAAAAGUAUAUGCGCACGUAUCUGUCAAAUGUACGGUUAAAGGGCUAUUUUGCAUUUUUUGCGGAACCGCACACAUUGGAAUUUCGCUAACUCCUCCGAAGGCUUUCGUUCCACCGGCACCACAUUUGCUCAGGCCAAUCUACACCCCAUGGCCAUUAAAAGUUGUACAAAUCAUGACGCUGCACCCCACGGUUUACGUUCUAGGGGGCGCCAAAAAUAACCCAAAAAUCCACAGUCUUAAAAGUCUUAUAACUUUUUAUUUUUGUCCUCACUGGCCUCCAAGUUUUCUAGGAUGAUGCAAUGUCCAGCCAUCAACACAUUUGUGAAGGAAUUUUUACUCCCCAAAAGAGCGCCCCCCAUGGCAGGAGAAAAAAGUCCAUUUUUUCUUGUCCCAUAAGGUGAAAAUACACAUUGUUGAGUGUCACGCCUGUACGCUUUGUCAUAUUGAAACAAAAUUUGACAAUCACGUGUAUCUCAAUAAGAUCUACGAAAAAGUCAAUGCGCACGUAUCUGUAAAAUGUACGGUUAAAGGGCUAUUACGCAUUUUUGAUCGAUUCGCACACAUUGGAAUGUGGCUAACCCCUCCUAAAGCUUUCGUUCCACCGGCACCACAUUUGCUCAGGCCAAUCUACACCCCAUGGCCAUUAAAAGUUGUACAAAUCAUGACGCUGCACCCCACGGUUUACGUUCUAGGGGGCGCCAAAGAUAACCCAAAUAUCCACAUUCUUAAAAGUCUUAUAACUUUUCAUUUUUGUCCUCACUGGCUUCCAAGUUUUCUAGGAUGAUGCAAUGUCUAGCCAUCAACACAUUUGUGAAGGAAUUUUUACUCCCCAAAAGAGCGCCCCCCCCAUGGCAGGAGAAAAAGUCAAGUUUUUCCUGCCCAUCGCUCAAUGGCUCAAACACAUGUCAUGUGUUCAAACUCCUCCGAAAGGAGGAGCAACUUGCCAUUUGGAUAUAUCCUAGCUGUGUUUGUGCCCUCACUCAUGGAUCAGACUUUUUUCAAAUAGGACAUGUAGUUUGUCUGCAGCGAGUGUUUUGGUAGAAACUGCGCCUCCCAUUCAUUAUAAUGGGAAAUGACCACAGACAAGUGCGCACACCAUCUUUGGACCUUGAGUGUGACGCGAUCGGGAGGGGGAGGCGGUCGCGCUGGGGGCGGCGCAACGCGGCUCGGGCCCGACAGUGCCCCACCGGGGCCCUAGUCUUAUUAUUAUUAUUUUUCUGCCCCUUUGAACUGGAAAAUGGCCCACUUCCCACUGGUGAAAACUCAUGAAAUUUGGCAGGACGACCGGGCCUGGUGAAAAAUUCGAUAUUCUGAAGUCACCCAAACAAUCAAAUGCAAAAUGGCUCCAUAGCGCCCCCUAAGGUGAAAAAUUCACAUGAUUGAGUGUCACGCCUGUACGUUUUGUCAAAAUGACACAAAAUUUGACACACACGUGUAUCUCAAUCAGAUCUACAAAAAAGUCAGUGCGGGAGAAUCUGUCAAAUGUACGUUUAAAGGGCUAUUUCGCAUUUUUUGCCGAUCCGCACACAUUGGAAUUUCGCUAACUCCUCCGAAGGCUUUCGUUCCACCGGCACCAAAUUUGCUCAGGCCAAUCUACACCCCAUGGCCAUUCAAAGUUGUACAAAUCAUGACGCUGCACCCCACGGUUUACGUUGUAGGGGGCGCCAAAGAUAACCCAAAAAUCCACAUUCUUACAAGUCUUAUAACUUUUUAUUUCUGUCCUCACUGGCCUCCAAGUUUUCUAGGAUGAUGCAAUGUCCAGCCAUCAACACAUUUGUGAAGGAAUUUUUACUCCCCAAAAGAGCGCCCCCCCAUGGCAGGAGAAAAAAGGCCAUUUUUUCUUGUCCUAUAAGGUGAAAAUACACAUUGUUGAGUGUCACGCCUGUACGCUUUGUCAUAUUGAAACAAAAUUUGAUAAUCACGUGUAUCUCAAUAAGAUCUACGAAAAAGUCAAUGCGCACGUGUCUGCAAAAUGUACGGUUAAAGGGCUAUUUCGCAUUUUUGGUUGAUUCGCACACAUUGGAAUGUGGCUAACUCCUCCUAAAGCUUUCGUUCCACCGGCACCAAAUUUGCUCAGGCCAAUCUACACCCCAUGGCCAUUCAAAGUUGUACAAAUCAUGACGCUGCACCCCACGGUUUACGUUGUAGGGGGCGCCAAAGAUAACCCAAAAAUCCACAUUCUUACAAGUCUUAUAACUUUUUAUUUCUGUCCUCACUGGCCUCCAAGUUUUCUAGGAUGAUGCAAUGUCCAGCCAUCAACACAUUUGUGAAGGAAUUUUUACUCCCCAAAAGAGCGCCCCCCCAUGGCAGGAGAAAAAAGGCCAUUUUUUCUUGUCCUAUAAGGUGAAAAUACACAUUGUUGAGUGUCACGCCUGUACGCUUUGUCAUAUUGAAACAAAAUUUGAUAAUCACGUGUAUCUCAAUAAGAUCUACGAAAAAGUCAAUGCGCACGUGUCUGCAAAAUGUACGGUUAAAGGGCUAUUUCGCAUUUUUGGUUGAUUCGCACACAUUGGAAUGUGGCUAACUCCUCCUAAAGCUUUCGUUCCACCGGCACCAAAUUUGCUCAGGCCAAUCUACACCCCAUGGCCAUUCAAAGUUGUACAAAUCAUGACGCUGCACCCCACGGUUUACGUUGUAGGGGGCGCCAAAGAUAACCCAAAAAUCCACAUUCUUACAAGUCUUAUAACUUUUUAUUUCUGUCCUCACUGGCCUCCAAGUUUUCUAGGAUGAUGCAAUGUCCAGCCAUCAACACAUUUGUGAAGGAAUUUUUACUCCCCAAAAGAGCGCCCCCCCAUGGCAGGAGAAAAAAGGCCAUUUUUUCUUGUCCUAUAAGGUGAAAAUACACAUUGUUGAGUGUCACGCCUGUACGCUUUGUCAUAUUGAAACAAAAUUUGAUAAACACGUGUAUCUCAAUAAGAUCUACGAAAAAGUCAAUGCGCACGUGUCUGCAAAAUGUACGGUUAAAGGGCUAUUUCGCAUUUUUGGUUGAUUCGCUCACAUUGGAAUGUGGCUAACUCCUCCUAAAGCUUUCGUUCCACCGGCACCAAAUUUGCUCAGGCCAAUCUACACCCCAUGGCCAUUCAAAGUUGUACAAAUCAUGAUGCUGCACCCCACGGUUUACGUUCUAGGGGUCGCCAAAGAUAACCCAAAAAUCCACAUUCUUAAAAGUCUUAUAACUUUUCAUUUUUGUCCUCACUGGCUUCAAAGUUUUCUAGGAUGAUGCAAUGUCUAGCCAUCAACACAUUUGUGAAGGAAUUUUUCUCCCUAAAAGAGUGCCCCCCCAUGGCAGGAGAAAAAGUCAAGUUUUUCCUGCCCAUCGCUCAAUGGCUCAAACACAUCGCUCUCUCGGAAAAAAACGAAAGGAGGAGGAACUUGCCAUUUGGAUAUAUCCUAGCUGUGUUUGUGCCCUCACUCAUGGUCCAGACUUUUUUCAAAUAGGACAUGUAGUUUGUCUGCAGCAAGCGUUUUGGUAGAAACUGCGCCUCCCAUUCAUUAUAAUGGUAAAUGACCACAGACAAGUGCGCACACCAUCGUUGAACCUUGAGUGUGACGCGAUCGGGAGGGAGAGGCGGUCGUGUUGGGGGCGGCGUGACACAGCUCGGGCCCGCCAGUGCCCCAACGGGGCCCUAGUUAUUUUUCCUCCCCUUUGAACUGGAAAAUGGCCCACUUCCCACCCGCGAAAACUCAUGAAAUUUGGCAGGACGACCGGGCCUGGUGAAAAAUUUGAUAUUCCGAAGUCGCCCAAACAAGAAAAUGCAAAAUGGCUCCAUAGCGCCCCCUAAGGUGAAAAUUCACACUAUUGACUGUCACGCCUGUACGCUUUGUCAAAAUGACACAAAAAUUGACACACACAUGUAUCUCAGUAAGAUCUACAAAAAAGUCAGUGCGGGCGUAUCUGUCAAAUGUACGGUUAAAGGGUUAUUUCGCAUUUUUUGCCGAUCCGCACACAUUGGAAUUUCGCUAACUCCUCCGAAGGCUUUCGUUCCACCAGCACCACAUUUGCUCAGGCCAAUCUACACCCCAUGGCCAUUAAAAGUUAUUCAAAUCAUGACGCUGCACCCCAAGGUUUAGGUUCUAGGGGGCGCCAAAGAUAACCCUAAGAUCCACAUAUUUAAAAGUCUUAUAACUUUUUAUUUUUGCCCUCACUGGCCUCCAAGUUUUCUAGGAUGAUGCAAUGUCCAGCCAUCAACACAUUUGUGAAGGAAUUUUUACUCCCCAAAAGAGCGCCCCCCCAUGGCAGGAGAAAAAAGUCCAUUUUUUCUUGUCCCCUAAGGUGAAAAUACACAUUGUUGAGUGUAACACCUGUACGCUUUGGCAAAAUGACACAAAAAUUGACACACACAUGUAUCUCAAUAAGAUCUACGAAAAAGUCAAUGCGCGCGUAUCUGUCAAAUGUACGGUUAAAGGGUUAUUCCGCAUUUUUUGCCGAUCCGCACACAUUGGAAUUUCGCUAACUCCUCCGAAGGCUUUCGUUCCACCGGCACCACAUUUGCUCAGGCCAAUCUACACCCCAUGGCCAUUAAAAGUUAUUCAAAUCAUGACGCUGCAUCCCACGGUUUAGGUUCUAGGGGGCGCCAAAGAUAACCCUAAAAUCCACAUAUUUAAAAGUCUUAUAACUUUUUAUUUUUGUCCUCACUGGCCUCCAAGUUUUCUAGGAUGAUGCAAUGUCCAGCCAUCAACACAUUUGUGAAGGAAUUUUUACUCCCCAAAAGAGCGCCCCCCCAUGGCAGGAGAAAAAAGUCAAUUUUUUCUUGUCCCCUAAGGUGGAAAUUCACACUAUUGACUGUCACGCCUGUACGCUUUAUCAUAUUGACACAAAAAUUGACACACAUAUGUAUCUCAAUAAGAUCUACAAAAAAGUCAAUGCGCGUGUAUCUGUCAAAUGUACGGUUAAAGGGCUAUUUUGCAUUUUUUGCCGAUUCGCACACAUUGGAAUGUGGCUAACUCCUCCUAAGGCUUUCGUCCCACUGACACCAAAUUUGCUCAGGCCAAUCUACACCCCAUGGCCAUUCAAAGUUGUAAAAAUCAUGACGAUGCACCCCACGGUUUACGUUCUAGGGGGCGCCAAAAAUGACCCAAAAAUCCACAUUCUUAAAAGAAUCCACAUCCCCCCCCCUAUGGCAGGAGAAAAAGUCAAGUUUUUCCUGCCCAUCGCUCAAUGGCUCAAUCGCAUCGCUCUCCAGGCAACACCGUAAGGAGGAGCAACCUGGCAUUUCGAUAUAUCAUAGCUGUGUUUGUGCCCUCACUCAUGGUCCAGACUUUUUUCAAAUAGGACAUGAAGUUUGUCUGCAGCGAGUGUUUUGGUAGAAACUGCGCCUCCCAUUCAUUAUAAUGGGAAAUGACCACAGACAAGUGCGCACACCAUCUUUGGUUCUUGAGUGUGACUCGAUCGGGACGGGGAGGCGGUCGCACUGGGGGCGGCGCGACGCGGCUCGGGCCCGACAGUGCCCCACCGGGGCCCUAGUUAGGGCCCGAGCCAGCUGCAGAGCAGCCGGGCGUAGGCCCCAUUAUUCCCCAAGUGGUUUUUCUUUGUUUCUUUCUUUAGGGCCCGAGCGUAGCUGCUAAGCAGCUGCGAGAGCCCUCUUGUUCCUGCAUGUUUCCUUCUUUCGUUAUUAUUUUUCCUCCGCUUUAAACUGGAAAAUGGCCCACUUCCCACUGGCGAAAACUCAGGAAAUUUGGCAGGACGACCGGGCCUGGUGAAAAAUUCGAUAUUCUGAAGUCGCCCAAACAAUAAAAUGCAAAAUGGCUCCAUAGCGCCCCCCAAGGUGAAAAUUCACAUGACGGCUGUACGCUUUGUCAUAUUGACACAAAAAUUGACACACACGUGUAUCUCAAUAAGAUCUACAAAAAAGUCAGUGCGGGCGUAUCUGUCAAAUGUACGGUUAAAGGGUUCUUCCGCAUUUUUUGCCGAUCCACACACAUUGGAAUUUCGCUAACUCCUCCGAAGGCUUUCGUUCCACUGGCACCACAUUUGCUCAGGCCAAUCUACCCCCCAUGGCCAUUAAAAGUUGUACAAAUCAUGACGCUGCACCCCACGGUUUACGUUCUAGGGGGCGCCAAAGAUAACCCAAAAAUCCACAUUCUUAAAAGUCUUAUAACUUUUUACUUUUGUCCUCACUGGCCUCCAAGUUUUCUAGGAUGAUGCAAUGUCCAGCCAUCAACACAUUUGUGAAGGAAUUUUUACUCCACAAAAGAGCGCCCCCCAAUGGCAGGAGAAAAAGGUCAAUUUUUUCUUGUCUCCUAAGGUGAAAAUACAUAUUGUCGAGUGUCACGCCUGUAUGCUUUGUCAUAUUGACACAAAAUUUGACAAUCACGUGUAUCUCAAUAAGAUCUACGAAAAAGUCAAAGGGCAUGUAUCUGUCAAAUGUACGGUUAAAGGGCUAUUUUGCAUUUUUUGCCGAUCCGCACACAUUGGAAUUUCGCUAACUCCUCCGAAGGCUAUCUUUCCACCGGCACCAAAUUUGCUCAGGCCAAUCUACACCCCAUGGCCAUUAAAAGUUGUACAAAUCAUCUUGCUGCACCCCACGGUUUGGGUUCUAGGGGGCACCAAAUAUAACCCAAAAAUCCACAUUCUUAAAAGUCUUAUAACUUUUUAUCUUUUUCCAUACUGGCCUCCAAGUUUUUUAGGAUGAUGCAAUGUCCAGCCAUCAACACAUUUGUGAAGAAAUUUUUACUCCCCAAAAGAGCGCCCCCCCCAUGGCAGGAGAAAAAAGUCCAUUUUUUCUUGUCCCGAAAGGUGAAAAUACACGUUGUUGAGUGUCACGCCUUUACGCUUUGUCAUAUUGACAAAAAAAUUGACAAUCACGUGUAUCUCAAUAAGAUCUAUGAAAAAGUCAAUGGGCACGUAAGUGUAAAAUGUACAGUUAAAGGGCUAUUUUGCAUUUUUUGGCGAUUCGCACACAUUGGAAUUUCGCUAACUCCUCCGAAGGCUUUCGUCCCACUGACACCAAAUUUGCUCAGGCCAAUCUACACUCCAUGGCCAUUCAAAGUUGUAAAAAUCAUGACGCUGCACCCCACGGUUUA